ACGGAGGUCCUGGCUUCAGCCCUUCAUCACGAGAGGCACAUUUGAGACCUUCGUCUCUCCUGGCCUUAGAUGGAAGAGAACAGCCUUUCUCCCAGCUACUGCAGAGGUUUCCAGGAUCAAGCUGUGCCAGACAUGAUGGGUUGUGCCUGAAGAGGGAACUUGGAUUAGUCAGAUAAGGGGAUGCUCCCGAGAGAAGUGUGCAAAUAAAGCACGGGACCCCGAGGACCAGGAGAAAGAAAAUAAAGUCAACUGCAAGGUUUAA
rnacentral:lncRNA from 1 species